rnacentral:rRNA from 1 species
CGGGACGGGUGAGUAAUGUCUGGGAAACUGCCCGAUGGAGGGGGAUAACUACUGGAAACGGUAGCUAAUACCGCAUAACGUCGCAAGACCAAAGAGGGGGACCUUCGGGCCUCUUGCCAUCGGAUGUGCCCAGAUGGGAUUAGCUAGUAGGUGGGGUAAUGGCUCACCUAGGCGACGAUCCCUAGCUGGUCUGAGAGGAUGGCCAGCCACACUGGAACUGAGACACGGUCCAG